rnacentral:misc_RNA from 1 species
AAGUCGUAACAAGGUUUCCGUAGGUGAACCUGCGGAAGGAUCAUUAACACGUAUCCAACGUUAAAACCCCCCCCUAAUAAGCCCACAGUUUAAUGUGAAGCUCAAUGUAAUACAUUGGGUAAAAAAACCGAACAACUGUUAACAAUGGAUAUCUUGGUUCUC